rnacentral:rRNA from 1 species
ACGCUGGCGGCAGGCUUAACACAUGCAAGUCGAACGGUAACAGGGAUUAGCUUGCUAAUUUGCUGACGAGUGGCGGACGGGUGAGUAAUGCUUGGGAAUCUGGCUUAUGGAGGGGGAUAACUACGGGAAACUGUAGCUAAUACCGCGUAAUAUCGGAAGAUUAAAGGGUGGGACUUUCGAGCCACCUGCCAUAAGAUGAACCCAAGUGGGAUUAGGUAGUUGGUUAGGUAAAGGCUGACCAAGCCGACGAUCUCUAGCUGGUCUGAGAGGAUGACCAGCCACACUGGAACUGAGACACGGUCCAGACUCCUACGGGAGGCAGCAGUGGGGAAUAUUGCACAGUGGGGGGAACCCUGAUGCAGCCAUGCCGCGUGAAUGAAGAAGGCCUUCGGGUUGUAAAGUUCUUUCGGUGACGAGGAAGGUUGAUAGGUUAAUAGCCUAUCAAAUUGACGUUAAUCACAGAAGAAGCACCGGCUAACUCCGUGCCAGCAGCCGCGGUAAUACGGGGGGUGCGAGCGUUAAUCGGAAUAACUGGGCGUAAAGGGCACGCAGGCGGUGACUUAAGUGAGAUGUGAAAGCCCCGAGCUUAACUUGGGAAUUGCAUUUCAUACUGGGUCGCUAGAGUACUUUAGGGAGGGGUAGAAUUCCACGUGUAGCGGUGAAAUGCGUAGAGAUGUGGAGGAAUACCGAAGGCGAAGGCAGCCCCUUGGGAAUGUACUGACGCUCAUGUGCGAAAGCGUGGGGAGCAAACAGGAUUAGAUACCCUGGUAGUCCACGCUGUAAACGAUGUCGAUUUGGGGAUUGGGCUUUGAGCUUGGUGCCCGUAGCUAACGUGAUAAAUCGACCGCCUGGGGAGUACGGCCGCAAGGUUAAAACUCAAAUGAAUUGACGGGGGCCCGCACAAGCGGUGGAGC